AUUAAACGCUGGCGGCAUGCUUUACACAUGCAAGUCGAACGGUAACAGGCCGCAAGGUGCUGACGAGUGGCGAACGGGUGAGUAAUGCAUCGGAACCUGCCCAGUCGUGGGGGAUAACGCAGCGAAAGCUGUGCUAAUACCGCAUACGAUCUGUGGAUGAAAGCGGGGGACCGAAAGGCCUCGCGCGAUUGGAGCGGCCGAUGUCAGAUUAGGUAGUUGGUGGGGUAAAGGCUCACCAAGCCAACGAUCUGUAGCUGGUCUGAGAGGACGACCAGCCACACUGGGACUGAGAACCGCCCCAGACUCCAACGGGAGGCAGCAGUGGGGAAUUUUGGACAAUGGGCGCAAGCCUGAUCCAGCAAUGCCGCGUGCAGGAAGAAGGCCUUCGGGUUGUAAACUGCUUUUGUACGGAGCGAAAAGGCUCUCUCUAAUACAGGGGGCUCAUGACGGUACCGUAAGAAUAAGCACCGGCUAACUACGUGCCAGCAGCCGCCGUAAUAC
rnacentral:rRNA from 1 species